rnacentral:rRNA from 1 species
UACGUAGGGCGCAAGCGUUGUCCGGAAUUAUUGGGCGUAAAGAGCUCGUAGGCGGCUUGUCACGUUGGGUGUGAAAGCCCGGGGCUUAACCCCGGGUCUGCAUUCGAUACGGGCAGGCUAGAGUGUGGUAGGGGAGAUCGGAAUUCCUGGUGUAGCGGUGAAAUGCGCAGAUAUCAGGAGGAACACCGGUGGCGAAGGCGGAUCUCUGGGCCAUUACUGACGCUGAGGAGCGAAAGCGUGGGGAGCGAACAGG